rnacentral:misc_RNA from 1 species
GAUGAAGAACUUAGCGAAAUGCGAUACUUGGUGUGAAUUGCAGAAUCCCGUGAACCAUCGAGUCUUUGAACGCAAGUUGCGCCCGAAGCCGUCAGGCCGAGGGCACGCCUGCCUGGGCGUCACACGCCGUUGCCCCCCCGCGCCCCGCACCCAACUCUUUGGGAGCGACCGCGGGGCGGGCUGAUGAUGGCCUCCCGUGCGCUCCGCCGCGCGGUUGGCCCAAAUACCGAGUCCCCGGCGACGUGCGCCACGACGAUCGGUGGUUGAGAGACCUCUGUCGCAAGUCGUGCGCGCCCGUCGCGUCACGCGGGCUCGCAUAGCGCCUCGCGCCGCACCCGGUGCGGAGCUUUCAACGCGACCCCAGGUCAGGCGGGGUUACCCGCUGAAUUUAAGCAUAUCAAUAAGCGGAGGA